rnacentral:rRNA from 1 species
AUAUAUAUAGAUAUAGAUAUAGAUAUCGAUCCCAUCAGAACUCUAGAAUUAAGCGUGCUUGGACAAGAGUAUUGCUAGGAUAGGUGACCUCCUUGGAAGUCCUUGUGUUGUACCCC